AGAGUUUGAUCAUGGCUCAGGACGAACGCUGGCGGCAUGCCUAAUACAUGCAAGUCGAGCGAACAGAUGAAGUGCUUGCACUUCUGACGUUAGCGGCGAACGGGUGAGUAACACGUAAGGAAUCUACCUAUAAGCGGGGGAUAACAUUCGGAAACGGGUGCUAAUACCGCAUAAUAUCUUCUUCCGCAUGGAAGAAGAUUGAAAGACGGCUCUGCUGUCACUUAUAGAUGACCUUGCGGUGCAUUAGUUAGUUGGUGGGGUAACGGCCUACCAAGACGAUGAUGCAUAGCCGACCUGAGAGGGUGAUCGGCCACAUUGGGACUGAGACACGGCCCAAACUCCUACGGGAGGCAGCAGUAGGGAAUCUUCCGCAAUGGGCGAAAGCCUGACGGAGCAAUGCCGCGUGAGUGAAGAAGGCCUUCGGGUCGUAAAACUCUGUUAUAAGAGAAGAACAAAUUGUAGAGUAACUGCUACAGUCUUGACGGUAUCCUAUCAGAAAGCCACGGCUAACUACGUGCCAGCAGCCGCGGUAAUACGUAGGUGGCAAGCGUUGUCCGGAUUUAUUGGGCGUAAAGGGAGCGCAGGUGGUUUCUUAAGUCUGAUGUG
rnacentral:rRNA from 1 species